CAAAUAUGGCCGCUGAGUGAACAGACUUUCCUUGAAAGGGACUUUGGCUAUACAGUAUAGUCCGCCUUGCAUAUUCUCCUUUUCCUCUGAUCAGGGGCGCAAGAGAGUGGCUUGCUCAACCUCUCUAGGCCAUGGCAACUGAGGGGAAUAGCGGCCCGGCAUCCUAGCCUGUCGGCGCCGUCAUGCAUGCUUCUCCAUUCCGGACCGCGGGUCUGAUGACUCACAUCUCUGGCAGCGCAGCAGUCCCUCGAUGCUCCCUUCCUGGACCCAUGAGGACCCACCAGGGUCCGCACAGGGGAAAAAGUCUGGUCUCCAGAGGAGAGGCGUGCUCGGCUUUUUAACAGCGGUGGUGACGGGGCUUCUUUAUCUUCAGGGCGGGGCAUGGCUCUCCUCCACCAAUGGCUGCUCUCUUCAGGCUGCGGCUCCUGCUUCUGAAGCCAGGUGAUUGGUCAGAUGUCCGACACGUCUUUGAACACGGACUCCACUGUGACCAAUCGGACACUUUACAGUCUCUGGGCAUCACACAUGAACGAAAGUUUACCGGGCUGUUGUCAUGGUCGCAAAGGCUGGAGGUGCUGUCCCUUUAAGUCUGCAAGGGCUCCAGGGCCCCACCCACAAACUGUAGCUGUAUUCCUGUUGGUCAGAGGGACAGAGGGCAGGGUGGGCAUUGUCAUGGUUACAGGGACGUGUCUGGGUGAGGCUGGGACAGUC